UCAGUCGACUCCUACGGGGAGGCAGCAGUGGGGAAUAUUGCACAAUGGGCGCAAGCCUGAUGCAGCCAUGCCGCGUGUAUGAAGAAGGCCUCGGGUUGUAAAGUACUUCAGUCGUGAGGAGGCGGCGCGUUAAUAGCGGCGUUGUUUGACGUUAGCGACAGAAGAAGCACCGGCUAACUCCGUGCCAGCAGCCGCGGUAAUACGGAGGGUGCGAGCGUUAAUCGGAAUUACUGGGCGUAAAGCGCAUGCAGGUGGUUUGUUAAGUCAGAUGUGAAAGACCCGGGGCUCAACCUCGGAAUAGCAUUUGAAACUGGCAGACUAGAGUACUGUAGAGGGGGGUAGGAAUUUCAGGUGUAGCGGUGAAAUGCGUAGAGAUCUGAAGGAAUACCGGUGGCGAAGGCGGCCCCCUGGACAGAUACUGACACUCAGAUGCGAAAGCGUGGGGAGCAAACAGGAUUAGAUACCCUGGUAG
rnacentral:rRNA from 1 species